rnacentral:rRNA from 1 species
UACGGAGGAUGCAAGCGUUAUCCGGAAUGAUUGGGCGUAAAGCGUCCGCAGGUGGCGAUGUAAGUCUGCUGUUAAAGAGUCUAGCUUAACUAGAUAAAGGCAGUGGAAACUACAAAGCUAGAGUGUGGUCGGGGCAGAAGGAAUUCCUGGUGUAGCGGUGAAAUGCGUAGAUAUCAGGAAGAACACCGGUGGCGAAAGCGCUCUGCUAGGCCGUAACUGACACUGAGGGACGGAAGCUAGGGGAGCGAAUGGG